rfam:Gossypium hirsutum cultivar TM-1 chromosome 21, whole genome shotgun sequence
UGUUAAAAAUUUCAUCUAUUUAUACUGUUAAAAACUAGUGUAACUGAUAGGAUAACUAGACGGCUACACAUGGUGUGCCACGUGUACAUGAUGUUGACAUACAUAGACCGAUUUUUAACAAUCUAAAUGGAUAAAAUUUUUAACA